rnacentral:pre_miRNA from 1 species
ACAACAUUCGGACCGUCGGUCUACCGAGCAAUAUCAACCGCUCGGUGGAAGAGUGGAAGAUCUUUCCUUUCGUCGU